rnacentral:rRNA from 1 species
UACGUAGGGAGCAAGCGUUGUCCGGAAUCAUUGGGCGUAAAGAGCGUGUAGGCGGCCCUCAUAAGUCCGCUGUGAAAGUCCAGGGCUCAACCCUGGAAGGCCGGUGGAAACUGUCGGGCUAGAGUCCGGAAGAGGAGAGUGGAAUUCCUGGUGUAGCGGUGAAAUGCGCAGAUAUCAGGAAGAACACCCGUGGCGAAGGCGGCUCUCUGGGACGGUACUGACGCUGAGGAGCGAAAGCGUGGGGAGCGAACAGG